GACGAACGCUGGCGGCGUGCCUAAUACAUGCAAGUUGAGCGCUGAAGGUUGGUACUUGUACCCACUGGAUGAGCAGCGAACGGGUGAGUAACGCGUGGGGAAUCUGCCUUUGAGCGGGGGACAACAUUUGGAAACGAAUGCUAAUACCGCAUAAAAACUUUAAACACAAGUUUUAAGUUUGAAAGAUGCAAUUGCAUCACUCAAAGAUGAUCCCGCGUUGUAUUAGCUAGUUGGUGAGGUAAAGGCUCACCAAGGCGAUGAUACAUAGCCGACCUGAGAGGGUGAUCGGCCAAAUUGGGACUGAGACACGGCCCAAAACCCUACGGGAGGCAGCAGUAGGGAAUCUUCGGCGAUGGACGAAAGUCUGAACGAGCAACGCCGCGUGAGUGCAGAAGGUUGUCGGAUCGUAAAACUCUGUUGGUAGAGAAGAACGUUGGUGAGAGUGGAAAGCUCAUCAAGUGACGGUAACUACCCAGAAAGGGACGGCUAACUACGUG
rnacentral:rRNA from 1 species